rnacentral:rRNA from 1 species
GACGAACGCUGGCGGCGUGCCUAAUACAUGCAAGUCGAGCGAAUCUUGAGGUGCUUGCACCUCUUGGUUAGCGGCGGACGGGUGAGUAACACGUGGGCAACCUGCCUGUAAGACUGGGAUAACUUCGGGAAACCGGAGCUAAUACCGGAUAAUCCUUUUCCUCUCAUGAGGAAAAGCUGAAAGUCGGUUUUUCGCUGACACUUACAGAUGGGCCCGCGGCGCAUUAGCUAGUUGGUGAGGUAACGGCUCACCAAGGCGACGAUGCGUAGCCGACCUGAGAGGGUGAUCGGCCACACUGGGACUGAGACACGGCCCAGACUCCUACGGGAGGCAGCAGUAGGGAAUCUUCCGCAAUGGACGAAAGUCUGACGGAGCAACGCCGCGUGAGCGAUGAAGGCCUUCGGGUCGUAAAGCUCUGUUGUUAGGGAAGAACAAGUAUCGGAGUAACUGCCGGUACCUUGACGGUACCUAACCAGAAAGCCACGGCUAACUACGUGCCAGCCGCCGCAGUAAAAC